rnacentral:lncRNA from 1 species
GGAAUUGCCUUCUGUGCCAUCGAAAGACACUGAGUUGGAUCUGCAGCAGUUACCUGAAGUGUAUGCUUAGUGAAGUCUAAAAAAAGGAAAAAAAAGUCAUGUAUUUAAGGAACAAGAAAUAAGACUUAUGGUUCAGAGGGAGGCAAAGUAUGAAAAUAUAUUUGGUAUGGUUUAAAUAUGUAAUGUUCCCCCCACACUCUCAUGGGCUUCACCUUGGUCCCCAGGUGGUGGUGCUGUUCGGGAAGGACAUGGACCUUUGGGGUUGACAUAGAGCAUCACUGUAGGGCCUGGUCUCUCGUCUAGCCCCAGAGACUCUGCGUCUUCAUCCACCAAGACGCCAUGAAUGCUGUCGUGCCUUCUCUACCAUGACCAGACCACUCCCUUACGUUGGAGGCCCAAAGAAGUCCUUCCUUCCUGAAGUUGCUUCUGGUCACAAGAACAGGCAGAGUGAGAACCAAAUGUGUUGUAGACAUUUCCAGAAUGGAAAAAAAAAUUUUACUGAGCACAUAUACAUCCCAGCACUCGAGAAACAUCUCUCAAGAGUCAAGUCUUACAGCAAUGCUGGGUUUAAUUCUGGGAUAUUCAGCUUCCUGAGAUCUGGGGCUCAGAAUUCAGGAUGAGUAAGGACAUGAACAGAUAACAGACUUUAGGAUGAGUAAGGACAUGAACAGGUUGGCAGGGCUCAACCUCUGACCCCACAAGAGCUCUUUUUUAUUUAUCUUUUAUUAUUAUCCCUAGUGACUAUCAGAAUUACCUGGGCACUUUAAUCACCAUCACCAUUAUCACCAUUAUCACCAUCACCACCAUCUAAAGAUAGAGAAGUCCAGGCCACACCCCAGACCUAAUACAUGAGAUCUAGAGCACGCCCAGAAGAUCGUUAAGAUUGAAAAGUUCCCAGGCAGUUCCAACUGAGUGCCAAGGCAUGAGUACCUGUCCCAUCCAGGAGCAGAGCUGCAUAAGAGGGACAUCAUGUGUGGAAGGUUCUUCAGUAAAAGGUAGAAGGCAUCUGGUCGAGGGUGGGUUGCCAGGUCUUCCAGGCAGACCCUCAGGAAGCGUGCAAACACCCUGUCAGGCCCAUCAUAGCAAAGGGAUGCUUUGAUGGCCUCCUCCCUCUGACUCUCUCACUGCCAGGUUCCAACCCAGUGCAGUAACCAUUUGCCAAGAGCCUACUUUACCCGGGAUCUGCUGCUUCUGGGCAUGGGGGUGGCUUGGGAGACCUAGUUUUGCCACCAUGCCCCCUGCAUAGGCUUCUGCACCCAUUCUCCCCGCCCCCAGCAAAGCUCUUCCUUGUCCAACACCCUGUGCCUGUCCCCUCUAAACCAAGAGGUGUCGCUUCUUUUGGACCUCACCCUUGCCCUGUUCCACUUCAUGCCUUCCUCAUCGUUUAUCCUCUGUUUUCUGUGGCUGAAAAUGGGCUUGAAUCACCAGUGAUCUCAAACAUGGUCCAGUCAUGCUGCAAGGGAGAAAAAAUAAGUGGUACCACGUUUAAACAGUUGUUUAGGCAUGUCAGCAAGGAAAGACACACUCUGCACACUUUAGGCAGGUUGACAUGGUCCCCAAGCCAACUGUGGUCUACUGUAUCUCUGUAAUGGAUGCCACCCUGUCACCACUGUCUCCCUUUCUUCUCUCACAGGCUUCCUUUAAGUACCACCUCUUCCAGAAAGCCUUCCCAAAUGGAUAGCCCAGGAUUCAAGCUUUUUUCUCUCAUAUAAAUAUGUGCCAGAGAAGACCGACUUCUGUUUGGAUAUCAAGGUCAUGGCUGGACAGCAGUCACAGAAAUCUCCUGAUGGAGGGGUGGGGCAGGGUGGCAUUUAUAUCUCGUGUCCUGAUUAUCACAGUGUUCACACACACACACACACACACACACACACACACACACACACACACACACCAUGCUUCAAGAAUAAAGAAGCAAUAUCCUCAAACUCUGCUACAUAUUAUAAUCAACUUAGUAACUUAAAAACAAAAACAAACACCAAUGUCCAGAGCUUACAUCCAUCAGCCUAUGGGGACAGAAUUGGGGCACAACUCCACAUACCAUAAAGCUCCCUGGUACUUUCAAUGUGUGGCUAAGUUUGAAAGUCAACAUACCUUAUGCUUCCACCCCUGAGGCUAUAAUUCAUUGCCCUUUUUCUUAUACCCUUUAGCUCACUAAGAUCUCUCAUCUAGUACUGUCUCUUGAAAACAUUAAGUGCAAGUCUCUGGUUCUUUUCCUCCCUUCCACAAUAGCUGGUGUAGAUUUGUGCUGUCUGGGACAGUCAGACCAAGAAGACCCUGGACAGAAGAUAGGAAGAAAAGAGGUGUUGUACUGGGCUAGAAAAUAAGACUGGAUCAUGUCUCAUACCAGGGUUAGGAGGACAGAAAGUGUCUCUGUAGAGACAACUCUUACCCUGAGGUCUAGAGGACCAAUCAGGAACAGAGGCCUGAGGUAGGAAGGGACUCUGGACUUCAGAGAGGAGAGGAUGCUGUUUGUACAGACUCUCUCAGGGAGAAAGGAGCAGAGAGGCUGCAGGGAAAUUUGGCUCCAUCGCAGAGAAGUUCCAUCAGAAAGCAGACUUCUAAUAUCAUCCAACUGCACACUAUACAUUCAAAUUCUAAUCCACUCAUGGACAUUCUGAAAACAUCUACCUCAUUCUAGAUGGGCUGCCCAAGAAAGGAUCGCUGGGCCUGAUAGCUCAGAUCUGAAACACUAACACCAAUCCAAGGCCAGAAGUCUGAGCUACAGAGUGAGUUCAAGGCCAGCCUCAUCACUGAGGGAGUCUUUAUCUCAAAACAAACCGACAAGAAAAAAAAAACACGCAAGGGGCUGGGGAUAUGGUAAGAACACAUCUGCCUAGCUUGUAGGCCCUGGGAUCAAUUCUCAGUACCACAAAAAUAAAAAAAUGAAGCAAAUAAGACAAGGGAAAGUUGAUAUAAGCCUAAGAAGAAAACCUUAAAAGUUCUCGGCUUCUGUUUUAAACUCUUGUGGUUCGGUAAAUGUGGGGCUUUCUGCAAUGGUAGUUAAGCAUCAUGUAUGUCUCCAAAGAGAUGGUUGCCAAGUGCACAGGCCUGGCACGAGGAGCUGUGACAUCUCAUGUGACGUUUCUUCUGCCUUUCAGUUGGUUGCUGGGAGCUGGUGACAGUGUUUUUGUUGCUGAUGCUGAGGAAUCGAGACCAAGGCCCUGGCGCACUCAGCCAUUGCUGGAGUUCAUUAGCCACAGAGAGACACUAAGUGGCUGUAAGGAUCAGGGCAGCUUGGCAGCCAUGUGACGGGCAGCCUUAUAAGUCCCAGGUACCAGUGUCGUUUAUACGACGUCAAGUGUGCUUUAAGCUGCACACUCCCAGGACUCAUUAGAACUGUGUGCCCAGUGGUGCCCCUCAACACCUCGGAGCAAAUAGAGAAUGAUAUAAUUCUCUCUGAGAACACCUCUCUGUCUUAUCUGCAGCAUGUCUUAUCUAUUAUGAUUAGGGCAUUAAGCUCCCAUCGGCCUUAACAUUUCAUGAGAUUCUACCCCACUGCUUGCCGGGAUUAUGUCAAGGUGUCUUGUCCUGGAUACCGUUUUCACCCAAUAAUACAGCUUGUCUCUUCUCCUUAGGCAGAGUUGGGCCACCAGCGAGGCCCAGCAAUCCAGCUUAAGGUGAGUGAGCACUUGGAAGGCUGCCCUAAACCCUCUUCCUAUAAGGCCCGUGUCUUGGUCUUGUUUCCCCCAAAAGAAAGGUUUGGGAAGCCAGAACUAAAGAUUUCCUUGCAAACAGCAUGGUUGAGAAAUGUUGAUAGAGAGCUGUCUCCAGGAAGGGAGAAAGGAAAGAGGGAAAAAAGGGGGGUGGGGGGGGGGCUUACAAUGCAGAGGAGACAGAAAUCAGGGUCUUGGAGAAGAACUGGAUGAACUGGGAGGCAGUAUGGACCACAACUUUCCCGUAGUCCCUCUGGAGGACAGGAGUGCUGGGGUGUUUAUCAACCCAGUUGUCCAGCUGUGAUGUAGCACUGUUCCAGGUUCACCUUCCACGGGGGUACCAGCCCCGUGGUAGUUAUGCUGAUACCUAAGACAUGAUGGCAUCAUCUGUAGAGGAAUGUCUCCGCCUGUGAUCCUCAAGAGGGCUGUGACAGAAUGGAGGCCAGUGACUAGAGCAAUCCUACCUGUCAGCCUUAGGCCAGGCACGUGGUGAGCCUUCAGUAAACAUCUGACAGUCACCUGCCUGGUCAAACUUCUGCCAUACCUAUGCUGGCUACAAUCUUGUUCAGAGUUGGCCUUUAUAAUAAAGUACUUAUCCCCUGCUUCUAAG